rnacentral:rRNA from 1 species
CACGUAGUUAGCCGGGGCUUCUUAGUCAGGUACCGUCAUUUUCUUCCCUGCUGAUAGAGCUUUACAUACCGAAAUACUUCUUCACUCACGCGGCGUCGCUGGAUCAGGGUUUCCCCUAUUGUCCAAUAUUCCCCACUGCUGCCUCCCGUAGGAGUUUGGGCCGUGUCUCAGUCCCAAUGUGGCCGUUCACCCUCUCAGGCCGGCUACUGAUCGUCGCCUUGGUAGGCCGUUACCCUACCAACAAGCUAAUCAGACGCGGGUCCAUCCUGCACCACCUUAGUUUUUCACACCUGGCCAUGCGGCCUCGUGCGCUUAUGCGGUAUUAGCACCUGUUUCCAGGUGUUAUCCCCCGGUGCAGGGCACGGUUCCCCACGCGUUACUCCACCCGUCCGCCACUAAGUUAUCCUCUCUUCCACUCUUAGCAAGCUAAUUGCUUACUAAAAUGAAUAACUCCGUUCGACUUGCAUGUGUUAAGCACGCCGCCAGCGUUCAUCCUGACGCCGAGGAUACAAACUCU